rnacentral:lncRNA from 1 species
GUGGAGCUGAGGGUGGAAGGGGAGUGAGCUGACGCUCGGAAGGUGUCUUGAGAUUAUCAUCCGCUGAGGGUGGAAGGGGAUGGAGCAGACACUCGGCACGUGUCUUGAGAUUAUCAUCCGCUGAGGGUGGAAGGGGAGUGAGCAGACACUCAGGAGGUGUCUUGAGAUUAUCAUCCGCUGAGGGUGGAAGGGGAGUGAGCAGACACUCGGGAGGUGUCUUGAGGCUCAGGGAGUUAUCAGUUAUAGAAUGUUGUUGAGUUGGAGGAGGUGGCUGGUGGCCCAUCCUGUUUUUUAAAGUUUCAGCUGUGAGG